UAGGGCUUCCACGGCUGCCGGCCGCCCCACCCUCGAGCCCGCACCCCGCCCUGGCCUCUACUCAUUGGUCUGAAUCUCCAUAGAGCCGCCCUCAUUGGCUGCUCUUCACCUCAAGUGGGCGGGGCCCAAAGUCGCUGGAGUUUUGCUCUCGGGACGGGACGUCCGACAGAGGAGAGGUUGACGUCGGGGUGACGCGCCGAGUUAAUCUUAUUUGACGUCAUGUCUCGUCUUGGCUUUCCUGCGGCGAUUGGCUGGACCGAUUUGGGGGCUGGACCCUGCUAAUUGGGUGUCAAGCCUAAAUCGGAGCCCCGCCCCUUGAGGGGUAAUAGUGGACCGAACGCACUAACGGUCAACCGGUUCUUGUGGUCCGAAGUGAAGAUCCCCAUUCGGUAGAGGUGAAGGCAGGACAGAUGACCAAGCCAAUAAGAGGUAGACUGAAGGUUUUUUUCCUGACAUCAUUGGGCAGCAGAUUUAAACCUGUACAGAGGAAAACGAUUCUGAGAGAUGGAGUAAGAGAGAAAAAAAUUGGGUUAUAGUACUUGAUGCCUGAAUCCGUUUUCAGUGGAUUAAGAUAUGGAACUCUCCGCUCCUUUAGCACCAUGUCUGCAUGUAUGCCACCACGCAUCCUACCAUGACAAUAAUGGACAAAACCUCUGGACCUGCUUGGGAUGUUGAUCCUGGAUGGAGUCCUAGUGUGUGAGGACUUUGCUCUAAUAUACGGCACUGUUUGCAGCCCCAUAGGAGGAACAACAAUAUGAACCAACCAAUACUCCCAGAGCUCCCAGGGACUGAACCACCAACCAAAGAGUACACAUGGAGU